UACGAGGGGGGCUAGCGUUAUUCGGAAUCACUGGGCGUAAAGAGCGCGUAGGCGGCUAUGCAAGUCAAGCGUGAAAGCGCCGGGCUCAACCCGGUAAUUGCGCGUGAUACUGUGUGGCUUGAGUUCGGGAGAGGAUGGGGGAAUUCCCAGUGUAGAGGUGAAAUUCGUAGAUAUUGGGAAGAACACCGGUGGCGAAGGCGGUCAUCUGGACCGGUACUGACGCUGAGGCGCGAAAGCGUGGGGAGCAAACAGG
rnacentral:rRNA from 1 species